rnacentral:rRNA from 1 species
GACGAACGCUGGCGGCGUGCCUAAUACAUGCAAGUCGAACGAACUCUGGUAUUGAUUGGUGCUUGCAUCAUGAUUUACAUUUGAGUGAGUGGCGAACUGGUGAGUAACACGUGGGAAACCUGCCCAGAAGCGGGGGAUAACACCUGGAAACAGAUGCUAAUACCGCAUAACAACUUGGACCGCAUGGUCCGAGUUUGAAAGAUGGCUUCGGCUAUCACUUUUGGAUGGUCCCGCGGCGUAUUAGCUAGAUGGUGAGGUAACGGCUCACCAUGGCAAUGAUACGUAGCCGACCUGAGAGGGUAAUCGGCCACAUUGGGACUGAGACACGGCCCAAACUCCUACGGGAGGCAGCAGUAGGGAAUCUUCCACAAUGGACGAAAGUCUGAUGGAGCAACGCCGCGUGAGUGAAGAAGGGUUUCGGCUCGUAAAACUCUGUUGUUAAAGAAGAACAUAUCUGAGAGUAACUGUUCAGGUAUUGACGGUAUUUAACCAGAAAGCCACGGCUAACUACGUGCCAGCAGCCGCGGUAAUACGUAGGUGGCAAGCGUUGUCCGGAUUUAUUGGGCGUAAAGCGAGCGCAGGCGGUUUUUUAAGUCUGAUGUGAAAGCCUUCGGCUCAACCGAAGAAGUGCAUCGGAAACUGGGGAACUUGAGUGCAGAAGAGGACAGUGGAACUCCAUGUGUAGCGGUGAAAUGCGUAGAUAUAUGGAAGAACACCAGUGGCGAAGGCGGCUGUCUGGUCUGUAACUGACGCUGAGGCUCGAAAGUAUGGGUAGCAAACAGGAUUAGAUACCCUGGUAGUCCAUACCGUAAACGAUGAAUGCUAAGUGUUGGAGGGUUUCCGCCCUUCAGUGCUGCAGCUAACGCAUUAAGCAUUCCGCCUGGGGAGUACGGCCGCAAGGCUGAACUCAAAGGAAUUGACGGGGGCCCGCACAAGCGGUGGAGCAUGUGGUUUAAUUCGAAGCUACGCGAAGAACCUUACCAGGUCUUGACAUACUAUGCAAAUCUAAGAGAUUAGACGUUCCCUUCGGGGACAUGGAUACAGGUGGUGCAUGGUUGUCGUCAGCUCGUGUCGUGAGAUGUUGGGUUAAGUCCCGCAACGAGCGCAACCCUUAUUAUCAGUUGCCAGCAUUAAGUUGGGCACUCUGGGAGACUGCCGGUGACAAACCGGAGGAAGGUGGGGAUGACGUCAAAUCAUCAUGCCCCUUAUGACCUGGGCUACACACGUGCUACAAUGGAUGGUACAACGAGUUGCGAACUCGCGGAGUAAGCUAAUCUCUUAAAGCCAUUCUCAGUUCGGAUUGUAGGCUGCAACUCGCCUACAUGAAGUCGGAAUCGCUAGUAAUCGCGGAUCAGCAUGCCGCGGUGAAUACGUUCCCGGGCCUUGUACACACCGCCCGUCACACCAUGAGAGUUUGUAACACCCAAAGUCGGUGGGGUAACCUUUUAGGAACCAGCCGCCUAAGGUGGGACAGAUGAUUAGGGUG